rnacentral:misc_RNA from 1 species
GGAGAUGAACAUGGUAAUGUGAAAAGACUAGAGGUAGUACGUGUCUCCUGGGAGAAGGAUGCUAGUGGGAAAUUUCAAUUUAAGGAGGUUGAGGGCACUGAGGAAACUAUUGAGGCUGACCUUGUCCUACUAGCCAUGGGGUUCCUUGGUCCUGAGUCGGUUAGUAAUCUAUUUUCUGCACUUGAGAUAUUCUUUCGGAUGAAAUGAAUUUCUCAAAAUCUUAAAUGAGAUAACUUCUUUCAAAUAAACCCAGUUUCUGAAAAUCAUAUAUGAGAACUUCUAAAUGAAAUGAGUUUUAUAUAUCAACAUGAGAUGACCUAUCAAAAUUGAGGGAUUCUUAACCUUAAAACGGUAUUCUUCGAAUUUAUGCAGAUCCAAAUUUACAAGUUUGGCAUGGAUUAGUAUUCACUAUUUCUCUUGCUAUUUGAUAUUUUUCAGAAUCUGGCAGACAAGUUGGGCUUAGAGCGAGACAAUCGAUCAAACUUCAAGGCUGAGUAUGGCCGCUUCUCUACCAGUGUUGAAGGUAUCUUUGCAGCCGGAGAUUGCAGACGUGGCCAGUCCUUGGUUGUCUGG